AGAAUCAACGCUGGCGGCGUGCCUAACACAUGCAAGUCGCACGAGAAAGGGGACUUCGGUCCUUGAGUAAAGUGGCGCACGGGUGAGUAACACGUGACUAAUCUACCCUCGAGUGGGAAUAACUGAGAGAAAUCUUAGCUAAUACCGCAUAACACUUACGAGUCAAAGCAGCAAUGCGCUUGGGGAGGAGGUUGCGGCCGAUUAGCUAGUUGGCGGGGUAAUGGCCCACCAAGGCGAUGAUCGGUA
rnacentral:rRNA from 1 species